AUUGAACGCUGGCGGCAUGCUUUACACAUGCAAGUCGAACGGUAACAGGCCGCAAGGUGCUGACGAGUGGCGCACGGGUGCGUAAUGCAUCGGAACGUGCCCAGUCGUGGGGGAUAACUACUCGAAAGAGUAGCUAAUACCGCAUACGAUCUAUGGCUGAAAUCGGGGGACCGUAAGGCCUCGCGCGAUUGGAGCGGCCGAUGUCAGAUUAGGUAGUUGGUGGGGUAAAGGCUCACCAAGCCAACGAUCUGUAGCUGGUCUGAGAGGACGACCAGCCACACUGGGACUGAGACACGGCCCAGACUCCUACGGGAGGCAGCAGUGGGGAAUUUUGGACAAUGGGCGCAAGCCUGAUCCAGCAAUGCCGCGUGCAGGAAGAAGGCCUUCGGGUUGUAAACUGCUUUUGUACGGAACGAAACGGCUCUGGUUAAUACCCGGGGCUAAUGACGGUACCGUAAGAAUAAGCACCGGCUAACUACGUG
rnacentral:rRNA from 1 species